UUCCUGGUAGUCCAGUGGCUAAGACUCUGUGCUCCCAAUACAGGAGCCCGGGUUUGAUCCCUGGUCAGGGAA
rnacentral:tRNA from 1 species